rnacentral:rRNA from 1 species
AACGAACGCUGGCGGCAGGCUUAACACAUGCAAGUCGAGCGCCCCGCAAGGGGAGCGGCAGACGGGUGAGUAACGCGUGGGAAUCUACCGUGCCCUACGGAAUAACGCAUGGAAACGUGUGCUAAUACCGUAUACGCCCUACGGGGGAAAGAUUUAUCGGGGUAUGGUGAGCCCGCGUUGGAUUAGCUAGUUGGUGGGGUAAAGGCCUACCAAGGCGACGAUCCAUAGCUGGUCUGAGAGGAUGAUCAGCCAUAUUGGGACUGAGACACGGCCCAAACUCCUACAGGAGGCAGCAGUGGGGAAUAUUGGACAAUGGGCGCAAGCCUGAUCCAGCCAUGCCGCGUGAGUGAUGAAGGUCUUAGGAUUGUAAAGCUCUUUCACCGGUGAAGAUAAUGACGGUAACCGGAGAAGAAGCCCCGGCUAACUUCGUGCCAGCCGCCGCCGUAA